UUAACUCAAGUUUGUAUGGAGUUGGAACAGCGCCCCUAGCGGCAAACAUAGGCAAACAUUCCAAGUCCAUACAAAUAUGAGUUA
rnacentral:pre_miRNA from 1 species